CAGCAGCCGCGGGUAAAACGAAGGGUGCAAGCGUUAAUCGGAAUUACUGGGCGUAAAGCGUGCGUAGGCGGUGAGUUAAGUCUGCUGUGAAAUCCCCGGGCUCAACCUGGGAAUGGCAGUGGAUACUGGCUCGCUAGAGUGUGUCAGAGGAUGGUGGAAUUCCCGGUGUAGCGGUGAAACGCGUAGAGAUCGGGAGGAACAUCAGUGGCGAAGGCGGCCAUCUGGGACAACACUGACGCUGAGGCACGGAAGCGUGGGGAGCAAACAGGAUUAGAUACCCCUGUAGUCCCUGUCUCUUAUU
rnacentral:rRNA from 1 species